AAAAUUUAGAGGAACGUAUGGAAAAUAGUGCAAUAGAACCUACAAAAUCAGAGGCAAAUGUGCUAUACUAGAUUGUGACCACUGCAACAAGAGUGGGAUUUCUUAUAAUUGUAAUGACCCUUCAGUUCUUGACAAGAAUGAAACUGUGGCAGCAACUCUGCUAUAGAAAUCCUUUUCUUAGAUAAGAAUCUUCCGAUAAGGUGGUCAGCUUGCGGGCAACUUUUGAGUCCUUCUCCAACUGCAACCAAGAAAAUUUGGGGAAAAUCUAUUUACAUUGAUUUUGUUCAAGCUUUGACAACAAAGCUACACUAGCUAUGAGACGUUUAAUUCUGUCAGCUCCUGGACCCGGUUUAAUAUUAUUCGGGUCACCAACCUUGGAACAUUUGGGACUACCAGAGCACCACCCACCGGGAGUGAAGCCUCCAUCCUUCCGGCCAAGUAAAUCCUUAUCAAUUUUAUCCAAGACAGGGUCGUAUCGUUUGAAUUUUCUAGCAAAGGCAGCACCA
rnacentral:misc_RNA from 1 species